rnacentral:rRNA from 1 species
UACGUAGGGGGCAAGCGUUGUCCGGAAUCAUUGGGCGUAAAGCGCGUGUAGGCGGCCUUGUAAGUCCGUUCUGAAAGUCCGGGGCUCGAACCCCGGGAGGCGGAUGGAUACUGCAAGGCUCGAGUCCGGAAGAGGCGAGUGGAAUUCCCGGUGUAGCGGUGAAAUGCGCAGAUAUCGGGAGGAACACCCAAUGGCGAAGGCAGCUCGCUGGGACCGGUACUGACGCUGAGACGCGAAAGCGUGGGGAGCAACAGG